rnacentral:tRNA from 1 species
GCCCCGUUCGUCUAGCGGCCUAGGACGCUUGCCUCUCACGCAGGUAACACGGGUUCAAAUCCCGUACGGGGUGCAA